CCCAGGGUAAGUCGGGACCUAAGGCGAGGCCGACAGGCGUAGUCGAUGGACAACCGGUUGAUAUUCCGGUACCCGCUUUGAAGCGCCAAACAUCGAAUCAGGCGAUGCUAAGUCCGUGAAACCGCCGGGUGCGUCUUCGGACAAUCUCGGAGUGGUGGAGCCGACGAACCAGACUUGUAGUAGGUGAGUGAUGGGGUGACGCAGGAAGGUAGUCCAGCCCGGGCGGUGGUUGUCCCGGGGUAAGGGUGUAGGCCGUGUGAUAGGCAAAUCCGUCA
rnacentral:ncRNA from 1 species